rnacentral:rRNA from 1 species
UGAGGGAAUAUUGGGUCAAUGGGCGUGAGCCUGAACCAGCCAAGUAGCGUGAGGGAUGACAGCCCUAUGGGUUUUAAACCUCUUUUGUUCGGGAAUAAAGUCAGGUACGUGUACCUGUUUGUAUGUACCGUUCGAAUAAGCAUCGGCUAAUUCCGUGCCAGCAGCCGCGGUAAUACGGAAGAUGCGAGCGUUAUCCGGAUUUAUUGGGUUUAAAGGGAGCGUAGGCGGUCGGUUAAGUCUGCGGUAAAUGUCAUGGCCCAACCUUGGCCUGCCGUGGAUACUGUCCGACUUGAAUGUGCACAAGGAAGGUGGAAUUCGUCGUGUAGCGGUGAAAUACUUAGAUAUGACGAAGAACUCCGAUUGCGAAGGCAGCCUUCUGGAGCAUGAUUGACGCUGAGGCUCGAAAGUGCGGGUAUCAAACAGGAUUAGAUACCCUGGUAGU